GAUGAAGAACGUAGCGAAAUGCGAUACGUAAUGUGAAUUGCAGAAUUCAGUGAAUCAUCGAAUCUUUGAACGCAUAUUGCGCUCUCUGGUAUUCCGGAGAGCAUGCUUGUUUGAGUAUCAGUAAACACCUCAACUCCCUUUCUUCUUGAAAUGGAGCUGGACUUGAGUGAUCCCAACGCCUUAUUCAUAAAGUGGCGGGUUACUUGAAAUGCAGGUGCAGCUGGACUUUUCUCUGAGCUAUAAGCAUAUCUAUUUAGUCUGCCUCAAAACAGAUUAUUACCUUUGCUGCAGCUAACAUAAAGGAGAUUAGUUCUUGUGCUGACUGAUGCAGGAUUCACAAAGACCGCUUCGGCUGUCUUUGUAAACUCGAUCUCAAAUCAAGUAAGACUACCCGCUGAACUUAAGCAUAUCAAUAAGCGCGGA
rnacentral:misc_RNA from 1 species